UUUCCUCCUUUUGCUCCUUUUCCAGUGUGUUUUCCCCCUUGCGUGGCUUUUACUGCCGCCCGUUACAUUCGCGUUAAUUGCUGCGCGACUGUGAUAUAAAUCGGCAGAUAUGACGCCCGUGUCCUUUCUAGUCGAGAUACGAGAUGCCUGGAAAUUGAUUAGCGGCCAACCCCCCUUCAGGCGAAUACAAAUUCAGUUUCGGAAAUACGCGGUAGAUUGAUAGAAAGGCUCGCUUUGAUCUUUAAAAGGAUUAAACAUUGAGUUUUUAGGAUCCCUGUGCUACCAGUAAGUAGGCUGUUGCUGUCAGACCAUUAUAUCUUUAACAUUUGGUUAUUUAAUUGAGAUUCUAUAUUCGAAUACACCUUUUUCAAGCAUCCCUUAGAUUCGACAGCCCUUGGAUUCUGUUUCGUAUUCCGAAUACCUCGCCUUAUUGACGACUGGGCUGACAAUCGCUAACAAAUACGUUUGCAAAAUUCAGAUCGAUCCCAAUGUUAGAAUACAAUUUCAAGUCUUAAGUGAUGUGCACCAAAGUCGCCGUCCGUUGGCCAGAGUCAAAUGUUCGUACAUAAAGUGAUUUCACUUUCCCUCACUUGGAUGGAAUAGAUUUGUGUAACGAGGGGCAGAAACACCCCACGUGCCCACCCUUGGCCAUGUGUGUUUGGGUAUCUGUGUUUGUUUACAUAUAUGAAAAUGCACAAGUACAGGCACACCCAGCUAAAGAUACAUGUAUUCACACACUUGGAUAUGAAUAAGCAAUGCAGCGGAAACUAAUUCAAGUUCAAGGUGAAUAUUGUCGACGUUUGCUCAUCGCUGCCGCUGCUGCUGCCGCUGCUGAUGAUAAUGAUGAGGACGAUGAUGAUUGGGUGUCAUUCUGCAGCUGUCAAUGCUCGCUCUGGUACGCAUAUUAUGCAAUAGGUUUUCAGUCUCCAGACCCCGUAAUCGCUGUGUCUGUGUAUCGAUAUAUGCACAUACAUAUGUAUGUACAUAUGUACACUAGCCAUACGUCGGGGGUUCAAUAGCCAUUCGAAGGCUGCAAUAGCAUACGUUGGAUAGCAUUUGUCUAUUGCACUGAACGCGGGAGUCUUGGGAACUUUAUGUAAUUCCAUAUGAGAUAUUAAUAUGAAUAAACCUGGAAAUUAAUAAUGGAAUCUAUCCAUAGCCAGCUUAAGACUCGUAACCCCCACAUAGCUGACAGAGGAAUCGAUCGAUCUUUAAGGCUGCCUUUCAAACAGGUUACCACAUUUCAUAUCGGAUAGAAGUCUUUGCGGGAAAAACUUGGUUCGAGUUUACUAUCGAAAAACUGAAUCAUGGAUCGAUUGUUGGAUAUAUACGCAGUAUAGUUUUUCCCAGCAAUCAAGUACAUUUCAGUAAAGAAUAAAUUUGUGAAUUUCAAUCUAGAAGCAGGUUUUAAGUUUUGCUCAAGUUUUAGGCAACGUGCUCAAUCAAUGAGAGUCGUAUCGUAGUUGGGUUUGCUUCGGUUCGGGGUCGAAUGUUGUACAGGUUGAACUCUACCCGCGAUAUGUGAUAUGCAUGAUAUGUACAUA
rnacentral:sRNA from 1 species